UUAAGCGACUAAGCGUACACGGUGGAUGCCCUGGCAGUCAGAGGCGAUGAAGGACGUGCUAAUCUGCGAUAAGCGUCGGUAAGGUGAUAUGAACCGUUAUAACCGGCGAUUUCCGAAUGGGGAAACCCAGUGUGAUUCGUCACACUAUCAUUAACUGAAUCCAUAGGUUAAUGAGGCGAACCGGGGGAACUGAAACAUCUAAGUACCCCGAGGAAAAGAAAUCAACCGAGAUUCCCCCAGUAGCGGCGAGCGAACGGGGAGGAGCCCAGAGCCUGAAUCAGUGUGUGUGUUAGUGGAAGCGUCUGGAAAGGCGCGCGAUACAGGGUGACAGCCCCGUACACAAAAAUGCACAUAUUGUGAGCUCGAUGAGUAGGGCGGGACACGUGGUAUCCUGUCUGAAUAUGGGGGGCCCAUCCUCCAAGGCUAAAUACUCCUGACUGACCGAUAGUGAACCAGUACCGUGAGGGAAAGGCGAAAAGAACCCCGGCGAGGGGAGUGAAAAAGAACCUGAAACCGUGUACGUACAAGCAGUGGGAGCACGCUUAGGCGUGUGACUGCGUACCUUUUGUAUAAUGGGUCAGCGACUUAUAUUCUGUAGCAAGGUUAACCGAAUAGGGGAGCCGAAGGGAAACCGAGUCUUAACUGGGCGUUAAGUUGCAGGGUAUAGACCCGAAACCCGGUGAUCUAGCCAUGGGCAGGUUGAAGGUUGGGUAACACUAACUGGAGGACCGAACCGACUAAUGUUGAAAAAUUAGCGGAUGACUUGUGGCUGGGGGUGAAAGGCCAAUCAAACCGGGAGAUAGCUGGUUCUCCCCGAAAGCUAUUUAGGUAGCGCCUCGUGAAUUCAUCUCCGGGGGUAGAGCACUGUUUCGGCAAGGGGGUCAUCCCGACUUACCAACCCGAUGCAAACUGCGAAUACCGGAGAAUGUUAUCACGGGAGACACACGGCGGGUGCUAACGUCCGUCGUGAAGAGGGAAACAACCCAGACCGCCAGCUAAGGUCCCAAAGUCAUGGUUAAGUGGGAAACGAUGUGGGAAGGCCCAGACAGCCAGGAUGUUGGCUUAGAAGCAGCCAUCAUUUAAAGAAAGCGUAAUAGCUCACUGGUCGAGUCGGCCUGCGCGGAAGAUGUAACGGGGCUAAACCAUGCACCGAAGCUGCGGCAGCGACGCUUAUGCGUUGUUGGGUAGGGGAGCGUUCUGUAAGCCUGCGAAGGUGUGCUGUGAGGCAUGCUGGAGGUAUCAGAAGUGCGAAUGCUGACAUAAGUAACGAUAAAGCGGGUGAAAAGCCCGCUCGCCGGAAGACCAAGGGUUCCUGUCCAACGUUAAUCGGGGCAGGGUGAGUCGACCCCUAAGGCGAGGCCGAAAGGCGUAGUCGAUGGGAAACAGGUUAAUAUUCCUGUACUUGGUGUUACUGCGAAGGGGGGACGGAGAAGGCUAUGUUGGCCGGGCGACGGUUGUCCCGGUUUAAGCGUGUAGGCUGGUUUUCCAGGCAAAUCCGGAAAAUCAAGGCUGAGGCGUGAUGACGAGGCACUACGGUGCUGAAGCAACAAAUGCCCUGCUUCCAGGAAAAGCCUCUAAGCAUCAGGUAACAUCAAAUCGUACCCCAAACCGACACAGGUGGUCAGGUAGAGAAUACCAAGGCGCUUGAGAGAACUCGGGUGAAGGAACUAGGCAAAAUGGUGCCGUAACUUCGGGAGAAGGCACGCUGAUAUGUAGGUGAAGUCCCUUGCGGAUGGAGCUGAAAUCAGUCGAAGAUACCAGCUGGCUGCAACUGUUUAUUAAAAACACAGCACUGUGCAAACACGAAAGUGGACGUAUACGGUGUGACGCCUGCCCGGUGCCGGAAGGUUAAUUGAUGGGGUCAGCGCAAGCGAAGCUCUUGAUCGAAGCCCCGGUAAACGGCGGCCGUAACUAUAACGGUCCUAAGGUAGCGAAAUUCCUUGUCGGGUAAGUUCCGACCUGCACGAAUGGCGUAAUGAUGGCCAGGCUGUCUCCACCCGAGACUCAGUGAAAUUGAACUCGCUGUGAAGAUGCAGUGUACCCGCGGCAAGACGGAAAGACCCCGUGAACCUUUACUAUAGCUUGACACUGAACAUUGAGCCUUGAUGUGUAGGAUAGGUGGGAGGCUUUGAAGUGUGGACGCCAGUCUGCAUGGAGCCGGCCUUGAAAUACCACCCUUUAAUGUUUGAUGUUCUAACGUGGACCCGUGAUCCGGGUUGCGGACAGUGUCUGGUGGGUAGUUUGACUGGGGCGGUCUCCUCCUAAAGAGUAACGGAGGAGCACGAAGGUUGGCUAAUCCUGGUCGGACAUCAGGAGGUUAGUGCAAUGGCAUAAGCCAGCUUGACUGCGAGCGUGACGGCGCGAGCAGGUGCGAAAGCAGGUCAUAGUGAUCCGGUGGUUCUGAAUGGAAGGGCCAUCGCUCAACGGAUAAAAGGUACUCCGGGGAUAACAGGCUGAUACCGCCCAAGAGUUCAUAUCGACGGCGGUGUUUGGCACCUCGAUGUCGGCUCAUCACAUCCUGGGGCUGAAGUAGGUCCCAAGGGUAUGGCUGUUCGCCAUUUAAAGCGGUACGCGAGCUGGGUUUAGAACGUCGUGAGACAGUUCGGUCCCUAUCUGCCGUGGGCGCUGGAGAACUGAGGGGGGCUGCUCCUAGUACGAGAGGACCGGAGUGGACGCAUCACUGGUGUUCGGGUUGUCAUGCCAAUGGCACUGCCCGGUAGCUAAAUGCGGAAGAGAUAAGUGCUGAAAGCAUCUAAGCACGAAACUUGCCCCGAGAUGAGUUCUCCCUGACCCUUUAAGGGUCCUGAAGGAACGUUGAAGACGACGACGUUGAUAGGCCGGGUGUGUAAGCGCAGCGAUGCGUUGAGCUAACCGGUACUAAUGAACCGUGAGGCUUAACCUU
rnacentral:rRNA from 1 species